GAUGAACGCUGGCGGCGUGCCUAAUACAUGCAAGUCGAGCGAACGGACGAGAAGCUUGCUUCUCUGAUGUUAGCGGCGGACGGGUGAGUAACACGUGGAUAACCUACCUAUAAGACUGGGAUAACUUCGGGAAACCGUAGCUAAUACCGGAUAAUAUUUUGAACCGCAUGGUUCAUAAGUGAAAGACGGUCUUGCUGUCACGUAUAGAUGGAUCCGCGCUGCAUUAGCUAGUUGUUAAGGUAACGGCUUACCAAGGCUACGAUGCAUAGCCGACCUGAGAGGCUGAUCGGCGACACUGGAACUGAGACAGGGUCAAGACUCCUACGGGAGGCAGCAGUAGGGAACGGUACGCAAUGGGGGGAAGCAUGGCGGAGCGAGGCGGAGUGUGUGAUGAAGGUCUUGGGAUCGUAAAACUCUGUUAUGGGGGAAGAACAGAUGUGGAAGUAACUGUACACAUCUUGACGGUAACUAAUCAGAAAGCAACGGCUAACUACGUG
rnacentral:rRNA from 1 species